GAUGAACGCUGGCGGCGUGCCUAAUACAUGCAAGUCGAGCGAACGGACGAGAAGCUUGCUUCUCUGAUGUUAGCGGCGGACGGGUGAGUAACACGUGGAUAACCUACCUAUAAGACUGGGAUAACUUCGGGAAACCGGAGCUAAUACCGGCUAAUAUUUUGAACCGCAUGGUUCAAAAGUGAAAGACGGUCUUGCUGUCACUUAUAGAUGGAUCCGCGCUGCAUUAGCUAGUUGGUAAGGUAACGGCUUACCAAGGCAACGAUGCAUAGCCGACCUGAGAGGGUGAUCGGCCACACUGGAACUGAGACACGGUCCAGACUCCUACGGGAGGCAGCAGUAGGGAAUCUUCCGCAAUGGGCGAAAGCCUGACGGAGCAACGCCGCGUGAGUGAUGAAGGUCUUCGGAUCGUAAAACUCUGUUAGUAGGGAAGAACAUAUGUGUAAGUAACUGUGCACAUCUUGACGGUACCUAAUCAGAAAGCCACGGCUAACUACGUG
rnacentral:rRNA from 1 species